rnacentral:hammerhead_ribozyme from 1 species
AUCAAGCUGACGAGUCCCAAAUAGGACGAAACGCGCGCUUCCAUGAC